rnacentral:rRNA from 1 species
CGUGUAGGCGGCUUGGUCAGCGGUCUGUGAAAGCCCGGGGCUCAACCCCGGAAUUGCAGACCGAACUGCCAGGCUAGAGAACGAGAGGGGACUGUGGAACUCUAGGUGGAGCGGUGAAAUGCGUAGAUAUCUAGAGGAACACCAGUGGCGAAAGCGACAGUCUGGCUCGUUUCUGACGCUGAGGCGCGAAAGCGUGGGUAGCAAACA